rnacentral:misc_RNA from 1 species
UUUCCGUAGGUGAACCUGCGGAAGGAUCAUUAUUGAAAUAAACCUGAUGGGUCGCUGCUGACUCUCUCGGGAGCAUGUGCACACUUGUCAUCUUUAUAUCUCCACCUGUGCACCUUUUGUAGAUCUGGAUAUCUUUCUGAAUGCCUGCAUUCAGGUUUGAGGAUUGACUUGUCUUUCCUUACAUUUCCAGGCCUAUGUUUCUUCAUAUACACCAUGUAUGUUAUAGAAUGUAAUGAAAAGGGCCUUUGUGCCUACAAACUUAUACAACUUUCAGCAACGGAUCUCUUGGCUCUC